rnacentral:snRNA from 1 species
GUACUUACCUGGCACAGGAGAUACGGUGAUCACGAAGGCGGUUCUCCCAGUGCGAGGCUCACCAUUGCACUCCGGUGGCGCUGACCCCUGCGUCCAACCCAAAUGUAGUUAACCCGAGUGUGCAAUUUUUGGCAGUGGGGGACUGCGUUAGCACUAUUCCCCU